rnacentral:antisense_RNA from 1 species
GACAAUAUUAUUCCGGAAUUUUUAGCUGGCACUCAGAUUUCUGUCUGCCUCUCAUUGGCAAACAUGACAUUUCAGCAAUUUCUCUAAAGAGGAAUGACUGGGGGGUAUGUACAGCAGGCAUCAUGUAAGAAAAACUCACACCUCACGACAUAUUUGUUUGAUUUAUUCAGCAGACUUCAGCAAAGGAAAGAUGUGAAAGCAACCCUUGGUUGUUGAUUUUUUGUUCAUUCUGAAAAUCACAUCACCAGAUCCAACACCUUUUAAUCCCAAUCACCAGUACAAGCCACCUGUAUCAGUGUACACUGUGGCUGACCGAUCCACAGUGAUGCUUUGAGCACAAGGAAGGACUUUCUGGAAUCUACUUAUCUGAUCAAGAAAGCUUCUUUCCAAAAGAAAUGCAAUUGUCUUGAGACUUCUUCCCUAGGGAUCUGAUCAACUAACCAGAAAAGAGCAACCACCAGAGAAGAGACUGUGGGUGUCAUUGUGACUGGCUGCUACCUCCCCAUGAGUCUUCUAAAAUAAAACCUGCAAAUUCACAUCUUCCCCAUGCUUCCAGAGAA